rfam:Phycisphaerae bacterium SM23_33 WORSMTZ_17065, whole genome shotgun sequence.
CAACUGAAGGGUUUGAUCCUGGCUCAGAACGAACGCUGGCGGCGUGGCUAACCCAUGCAAGUCGGGCGCGAAAGUUCCCUUCGGGGAGCUAGUAGCGCGGCGAAAGGGUGAGUAAUGCAUGGGCAACGUACCCCGGGCACGAGGAUAAUCCGCCGAAAGGCGGGGUAACACUCGAUGAGACCACGCGGAGGAUCUCCAUGUGGUCAAAGGGCGGGGAUCCCGACUCGUCGGGACCUGCCGGCCUGGGAUCGGCCCAUGUCCCAUCAGCUUGUUGGUAGGGUAACGGCCUACCAAGGCGAUGACGGGUAGCCGGACUGAGAGGUCGACCGGCCACAUUGGGACUGAGACACUGCCCAGACUCCUACGGGAGGCUGCAGGGACGAAUAUUCCGCAAUGGGCGAAAGCCUGACGGAGCGACGCCGCGUGUGGGAAGAAGCCCUUCGGGGUGUAAACCACUGUCAGGGGUCACCAAGCAAAUUCGCCGAACAGGCGGAGGCGUUGAGGAGCCCCGGAGGAAGCCACGGCUAACUUCGUGCCAGCAGCCGCGGUAAGACGAAGGUGGCGAGCGUUGUUCGGAAUCACUGGGCUUAAAGAGCACGUAGGCGGCCUGUCAAGCGCUUCGUGAAAUCCCUCGGCUCAACCGGGGAAUGGCUUGGCGAACUGGCAGGCUUGAG